CAAGCGGUGGAGCAUGUGGUUCAAUUCCACGCAACGCGAAGAACCUUACCUGGGCUCGAAGCGCAGUGAACCGGGGUAGAAAUAUCCCUUCCCGCAAGGGUCGCUGCGGAGGUGCUGCAUGGCUGUCGUCAGCUCGUGUCGAGAGAUGUUGGGUUAAGUCCCGCAACGAGCGCAACCCUUAUCCCUAGUUGCCAUCGGGUCAAGCCGGGCACUCUAUUGAAACCGCCCCGGAUAACGGGGAGGAAGGUGGGGAUGACCUCAAGUCCUCAUGGCCUUUAUGUCCUGGGCUACACGCGUGCUACAAUGGUCGGUACAAACCGUCACAAACCCGUGAGGGGGAGCUAAUCGGAAAAAGCCGGCCUCAUUUCGGAAUGGAGUCUGCAACUCUACUCCGUGAAGCUGGAAUCGCUAGUAAUCGCAGAUCAACACGCUGCGGUGAAUACGUUCCCGGGCCUUGUACACACC
rnacentral:rRNA from 1 species